AAAGGAGAAGUGGUUGCAAAGUGAUUUCUUAAGUAGCAAGAUAGAUGUACUCAAAUGCAGAACACCUAGCAUGUUGACUUUCAAAGUGCUUUGUGGAACUCUACUAGGCACACAACAGUAAUAUUGAACUAAGUGGCUCAGCAUCAUGAAAAUACAAUAACCAGUGAAUGAGCACCAGAAACAAGAAGGUACCGAACCAUAACCAUAAACCUUGUUAGUUUCAUAGAUCUGCUUAUGGGGAUAUGACUGCAAUAUGACGACUUCUUAUUCACCAUCUCUGUGUCCCCAUCCAGGCCCCAUCCCAGACCAGGGGGUUCCAGUGAAGGAGGAGCCUGGUUGCCCUGUUCGUGGGGAGCGAGGCUUCCACAGGGGCCAGGAGAAGGCCCGGGAUGCUGGAGUGCAUAAUGAGGGAGAAGGAGUGAAAAUGGGAGGCGAGAAAGACAAAGGUGCUAAACAUCUACUCCAGACUCCAGGACAGCGGGCCCCUCCAGCCCAGCCGCAACAGGGGCCACUCCAGGUUUGAAGACUAUACACGAGGGAUGACUAAGUGCAUGCAGGGAGACUGGUGUCCGCUCAGAGCUCCAUUGUGUGCUGUUGUCCCAUGGAGUGCUGCUCAGUAGCUGUACCUGUGCUGCUGGCGUCAGUGACUCACUCUGCCAGGGUCUCUGAUGAAUGUCAGUGUUGAUGGGGAACACCUGGUGGCCCCGUGACUGCACCACCUCAGCCCCGCCCCCUGGACGCCACUCAGCCUCCCGUGUAUUAGCGUUCUAUUCAGUCGACUUCUUGGCAAAGUAUUGCAUUUUCAGCCAGGAGAAGCUGGCAGAAUACAAAAGGGCUUUUGAAGCGGUAAGUGAAAGGGGAUUUAAACCCUCUCUGUUCACACUAUGCCUCAGAUACACUCCCUCUUUCUUCCUUGUUUUCUGUCUCUCUCUUUCUCUAGUUCUUACUCUCUCCUUUUCACUCUUCCUGUCUCUCUCUCUCUCCUUGUUACUCUCCCUCCUUUUCACUCUUCCUGUCUAUCUUUAUGUAGUUUUAACUCUCCCUCCUUUUCACUUUUCCUGUCUCUAUCUUUAUGUAGUUUUAACUCUCCCUCCUUUUCACUUUUCCUGUCUCUAUCUUUAUGUAGUUUUAACUCUCCCUCCUUUUCACUCUUCCUGUCUCUCUCUUUCUGUAGUUUUUACUCUCCCUCCUUUUCACUAUUCCUGUGUUUGUUGACUUCUGUGAUCGAAAAAGCCUUGGUUUCAUGCAUGUCAACAUCAGAAGCCUCCUCCCUAAGUUUGUUUUACUCACUGCUUUAGCACACUCUGCUAACCCUGAUGUCCUUGCCCUGUCUGAAUCCUGGCUUAGGAAGGCCACCAAAAAUUCUGAGAUUUCCAUACCCAACUAUAACACUUUCCGUCAAGAUAGAACUGCCAAAGGGGGAGGAGUUGCAAUCUACUGCAGAGAUAGCCUGCAAAGUUCUGUCAUACUUUCCAGGUCUAUGCCCAAACAGUUCGAACUUCUAAUUUAAAAAAUUAAUCUCUCCAGAAAUAUGUCUCUCACUGUUGCUGCCUGCUACCGACCCCCCUCAGCUCCCAGCCUUGCCCUGGAAAUCAUCUGUGAAUUGAUCGCCCCCCAUCUAGCUUCAGAGUUUGUUCUGUUAGGUGACCUAAACUGGGAUAUGCUUAACACCCCGGCAGUCCUACAAUCUAAGCUAGAUGCCCUCAAUCUCACACAAAUCAUCAAGGAACCCACCAGGUACAACCCUAAAUCCGUAAACAUGGGCACCCUAAUUGACAUUAUCCUGACCAACUUGCCCUCCAAAUAAAACUCUGCUGUCUUCAAUCAGGGUCUCAGUGAUCACUGCCUCAUUGCCUGUAUCCGCUACGGGUCCGCGGUCAAACAACCACCCCUCAUCACUGUCAAACGCUCCAUAAAACACUUCUGCGAGCAGGCCUUACUAAUCGACCUGGCCCGGGUAUCCUGGAAGGAUAUUGACCUCAUCCCGUCAGUUGAGGAUGCCUGGUCAUUCUUUAAAAGUAACUUCCUCACCAUCUUAGACAAGCAUGCCUGCAAAAAAUGCAGAACUAAGAACAGAUAUAGCCCUUGGUUCACUCCAGACCUGACUGCCCUCGACCAGCACAAAAACAUCCUGUGGCGGACUACAAUGGCAUCGAAUAAUCCCUGCGAUAUGCAACUGUUCAGGGAAGUCAGGAACCAAUACAUGCAGUCAGUCAGGAAAGCAAAGGCCAGCUUUUUCAAGCAGAAAUUUGCAUCCUGUAGCUCUAACUCCAAAAAGUUCUGGGACACUGUACAGUCCAUGGAGAACAAGAGCACCUCCUCCCAGCUGGCCGUGCCUUCCU